AGAGAGAGAGAGAGAGAGAGAGAGAGAGAGAGAUAUCUGUGAUCAUUUACUUCUCUCCAGUGUUAACUGCCAGAAACACACAGACUGGUCCCCAAAGCUCUCAGGUGACCCACAGCUACGAUAUCACCACAAAGCACAGAUGUGCCCACAGAGGAGGUGCCUGUUACAACCCUUCCAACACAAGAAAAAGAGCCAGGGCUACACAGAGAGCCUGGAGCCACCUACAUGUACAUGCUUAAAAUGGAAGAUUUAAAAUAAACAUCCAGAUUCCUAGCUUCUCCUGAAAAAUUGUGGACCCGAAAGCAUGGAGCCCCCACACCCUCGUGGCUACCACUGGCUGUGCCUGGGUGGUCUCUGCUGCCCUUAGAGAGAGUGCCCUCCCAGCCACCCUGUCACAUUCUCCAGGCUCUGAUCACACAGUCACGCAACCCCUUGGUCGCCCCUGGGGCCUUGGAUUGGCAUUCCCUCUCCUACCUUUCAAGAACACGAGAUGGUCCCAGGGAGAGGUGCAGAAAAAUGUGGGUGAAGGUGUGCAGGUGGGACCCUGGGGUAUUACAGGCGGCAAGUGAGAACCCUGGGGUGUGUGCAGGACAGAGCAAGUGGUUUCCUGGGCCAUCGGGGCCUGCAAAGCAGGACAGAGAGAGAGAGAGCAAAAAUGACGCUGGAGAAGUCACAAGGGCCCUACCGCACAUGGGGGUCCUGUGUGCCAUGCACAGGACCCUGUCCUGAACCCGGAGGGCAAUGGCGAGCCUCAGAGCUCUGUGCCGGGAACAUGGUGAUGUGCGAGUCUGGGGAACCCGCGGUGGAGAGAAU
rnacentral:lncRNA from 1 species